CGAGUCGGCUAGACAAUCGCGGAUAAAUACUUUUGGGUAUUUAUCGGAGGAAAGUCCGGGCUCCAUAGGGCAGGGUGCCAGGUAACGCCUGGGCGGCGCAAGCCGACGGCCAGUGCAGCAGAAAGCAAACCGCCUAAGUCUAUGCUUGCAUAGACCGGUAAGGGUGAAAGGGUGCGGUAAGAGCGCACCGCGUCGCUGGUAACAGUCGACGGCACGGUAAACCCCACUCGGAGCAAGGCCAAAUAGGAAUCCUACAGGCGCGGCCCGCGCUGGAUUCGGGUAGGCCGCUUGAGGGUUGCGGUGACGCAAUUCCCAGAUGAAUGGUUGUCCACGACAGAACCCGGCUUAUCGGCCGACUCACCUU
rnacentral:RNase_P_RNA from 1 species